rnacentral:rRNA from 1 species
AACGCGAAGAACCUUACCAGGGCUUGACAUCCUGCGCAAGACCAUAGAGAUAUGGGGAUAGUUAUGGCAGAGACAGGUGGUGCAUGGUUGUCGUCAGCUCGUGUCGUGAGAUGUUGGGUUAAGUCCCGCAACGAGCGCAACCCUUGUCCUUAGUUGCCAUCAUUAAGUUGGGGACUCUAAGGAAACUGCCGGUGUAAAUCGGAGGAAGGUGGGGAUGACGUCAAAUCAUCAUGCCCCUUACGCCCUGGGCUACACACGUGCUACAAUGGACGGAACAAAGAGAUGCAAAACUGCGAAGUCAAGCAAAACUCAAAAAACCGUUCUCAGUUCAGAUUGAAGUCUGCAACUCGACUUCAUGAAGACGGAAUCGCUAGUAAUCGCGAAUCAGCUACGUCGCGGUGAAUACGUUCCCGGGCCUUGUACACACCGAGUAUA